rnacentral:lncRNA from 1 species
AUGCAAGACGUUGGAUUGGAGGAGCCUGCUCUCACUAAUACAGAGGAGGAAGAAGAGGAGGUGGAGGAUGGGGAAGAAGCAGACACGGGCCUCCUGCAGCAGGACACGGCCAGACAGACACUGGAGGAGAAGCUACAGCCUAAUCUCCAUGUGUUGGGGCUUCUCUUCCUCAGCAAGCCUAUGAGCCAUGCCUUCAACUUCAUCCUACUCUUCCAGUUUGUGUCUAUUGGGAUCAGCUAUGUCCUAGCUGGCAGUGAGGCCUACGCCGCUCUUCUACAUGUGAGCCAUAUCUAUGUCAUUCCUGGGUUUACCUGGACACUAUCUCUUGGAAUCCUGCUGGCUCAAAUGGUCAUUCAGCCAAUCACGUCGCUACUGACCCUCCUGAAAGGCAUCAUGCUGAUCAUCACAGUGCUGGGCUGUUUUGGAGAUCGUCCCCCAGAUGUCAGUUCAGAGGGUUAUGGAGGAAGGUGUGGUGAACACUACCAGUAGUGUCGUCUCUGAGUCCUCUCCAACAGCCUACACCAUGGUCUACUCCAACAUCUCCCUGGAGGAGUGUGUACAGUACUCUAUUUCAUAUACUCUUUUCUGCAGAUUCUCUCACAGACCCAUUAACUUCAAAGAGUUACAGUUCAUAUAAGGAAAUCAGUCAAUUGUAAUAAAUUAAUUAGGUGCAUCGAUAAAAUGCAAUUGUGUUUGUUGUCCGUAGCUUAUGCCUGCCCGUACCAUAACCCCACCGCCACCAUGGGGCACUCUGUUCACAACGUUUACCUCAGCAAACCGCUCGCCCACACGACGCCUUACACUCAUUCUGCCAUCUGCUUGGUACAGUUGAAAGCGGGAUUCAAC